rnacentral:tRNA from 1 species
GGAUAUAGCUCAGUUGGUAGAGUGCUUGCCUCACAUGCAUAAGGCCCUGGGUUCAACCCCAAGCACCA